AAUGCAAUUUAUUUUAGGAAACAAAUAAAAGAUUUUCUGAAAACAAAUAAACCUCAUCAGAAAGCAUUUAUGUACCUGUUUAAUUUGUUAUCUGUUUUGUGAUUUUUUGUCGUUUUUUUCGUCACGCCAACACCCUUGUCCACGGGUUGUUUCAUCCUGUUUCGCAAGCGAACGGUUCCGCUCAGAGGCAGCCCGCUCGGAAGCUAGGUUUGUGCGCCCCCGCGGUCUUCCUGGUCGAUGCCGACUUCCCGCGGGGCGCCGUCUUCUGGAAGAUGAUGACCUACCGCGACUUCGUUGGCCGCACCCAUCCCGGUCUCCCAAUCAAUCAGUAAUUGACCUCGCCAGCGGAAACUUUCCUAAUUACCAGCAGAAAACGCCCGUCUCCUAAUCCCCAACCCCACUAUUUUCUCCCUUCCAAACCCUAGAGCUCCGACGGGGCACUGAUCCGGCAGCCCUAGAGAAGAUUAUGCCUCAGGAGGGCUCCGAUCUGAUGGCUCCUUCACCGUCGUCUUCGCCGGCGGAUGGGGCAUGCCUCAUGCGACUGUGUGGUGGGUGGUUGUGGUUGUCCGAGAUGAGGAGGCGACGGCAGAGGUCGAGGAGAAGGAGAGGUACGUCCGUGCUAGGUAGCGUAUGAAUGUUGAUCGCCGGAAUGCCCACGCCGACGGACGCCACCGCACUCACCGGCAGGGUCAACCCCUCCGUUUACUCCAUCGCUGCCAUGCUCUGUGUCUUUUCGUGCCCGACUAUGCAGGUCGCCACCACCACAAUCACCGUCCCAGUAGAUGGACGAAGACUGACAGAUCUGGGGCGAUGGAUGGAGAAGCUGGACGUCCAUGGUGACAACAACACCGGUUCCCAUGCAGGAGUGAAAAGCAGGUGAUAAGGGCCGGCGGUUGCUGAGAGUGGUGGGAAUCACAACAACGCCGUCGAGGUUGAGGAACUAGGAGAGCAAGACACGGCUAGGCAAUCGAUGUGAGGUCAAGGUAUACGAGCGUUGAUUUUCUUGGUACGCAUGACAAAGAAGCAAUUUUCUCACACUUUCGUCAAGAUACAAAGCUAUAGUAGUCUGUUACUAUGUUUCUAAGUAUCUUGAACUUCUCCUUGCCGCGGAUGCAUUGGAUAUUUUAUACUCCCUCCGUUCCAAAAUAGAUGACCCAGCUUUCUAAGUUGGGUCAUCUAUUUUCGAACGGAGGGAGUACUUAAUUAGUCCGCCUAAUUAAGUUCUGGGCAUGUCUUAAUUUUUCUCAAGCAACCUGUUCUACUACUCCAAGAACUGCAAUUUUAAGCAAUUUUAAUUAACCCUUUGCAUUCAAGAAAAAGGUCACUGAGUUGCUAUCUAAAGCUAUGUCAAAUUAAUAUGUUGUGAGAUGUUCAAAUUCCUUUCAUAGAAAAUAAUGUAGGCCUGACACUCGAGUGCCUAUUUUAGGGACACUUACAGUUUGCACCAAGCCAUGAGGGAGUUCCACAGCGCUCCUGGCAUCCAAUUUGGCUUGCUCUUAUGUAUGAAUUCUUAGUAUUUUUACCUCUUUAACUAACAGAACCGCGCUAUGUUUGUUGGGAAUGUACAUUGUGGGCACACCAAUUCUCAGUUCUUGGGGUGCUUGUAUCAGGGAUAUAUCAUUACAGAAGAUAUGGAGGAAGCAUGCCACUCUAAAGCACAAGGUCCAUUAAUAUUUUCUUGAUUGUUCACCGUACAUUCUUGUGUUUUCUAUAUCUCUUGUCAAAAAUAUUCUACCUAUUUAAUAUUUACUACCUACACCUGGUGAUACAAUUUCUUAUUUUUGUUGGCUGAUGUGGGUAAGCAGAAUACCAUGGUUUUUGAGUCGCUGAUUAGUCGCUGUAUAGUCGCCGACUAAUCGCCAAGUCGUUUUCCAAAAAUCAGGGCGACUCGCGACUAUACAGCGACUUAUGGCGACUAUAUAGCGACUUUCGUCGACUAUACGCCGAGCCGCAGGGCUCGCGGCGACUCAAAAACCUUGCAGAAUACAUUAUGUAAGUGCAAUACAUUACUGGCACCCACAUUCAAACCACACCUCCCCUUUCCUCCACUUCCUAUUGUUACAAAUCUAGAUUGUACGCCAGCCCGGGCGAUGAUGGGUGAUGGAGGAAUAAAAUAGAGGCAUGGAUGAUGGAGGUGCGUGAGGUUUGCAUCAAGCAGGCAAUUGGUGGCUGCGCGGAACUGUACGUAUAUAUAUACAUGGUACAUGAAAUUUGUGCCACAAAUGAAUGAAAAUGUCAAUUUUGAAAAUAUAAUAUGCAUGCAUGAAUGAUGAUUGUUCAAGGUAGCUAAUUACAAUUUGGAAUCUAUAUAACUCAGUGUGGCUAUGCAAAUUUUAGAUGGAGUUAGUGGUUUGUUACUUAUUGGAGUAGCAAAUUCCAGUUACCCAGUAGAGUGUAAGUGGAAUCUGAAAUGAAUUGUAAAAUCUGCUUUGUGUGCUUCUCCUAAAGAGAGAAAAUGGCCAAAGAGAUAAUCUGAGAGAUAAUGCUAUCUUGGUUCUAUGGAAGGCUUAUCUUGGUUCUAUGGAAGUUUUAAUCACCACCAUUGACUCACUUAAGGUGUGUAUACUGAAGUAGACCCCUUAUAAAUAGUAUUCAUCCAAGAUGCUGUUGUAUAUGUAUCUUCAUAGAGAUGUAGAUGCAUAGGUAGUUCAAUAGUGCACAUGUUCAUUGACAGGGGUGUAGAUGUAGUAUACAAUAGAGGUUACAUUGACAAGUUGGUCCAUGAUGCUCCCAGGAAAAAAAAAUAUGAUAUAUUGUUUUACACUAUCAUCCAUAGUGAAUCUUUUAUUUUAUUUGUUUGUUUGCAAUGCUGAAUAUUUGGGGAACACACAUUGAGGUGUAAGAUAUAGAGUUUAGCCUACAGAUUCACCGAAUCAGCUUGAACAUUGUUACCAUGCUUCAUACGAUUUGGUAAUGAUUUCAAAACAUGGAAUGGGGCAAAUAAAGCUGAAACCUUGUACUGUUCCUGACAGAAAAAAUAGUUACCGUAGAGAGGUUUCAUACUGACAUUGUUUCUUACCAACUAAUGUUGCAUUACUCCGGCCAUGAUUACAGCAGCUAAGUACCCCAUGAUUACAGCAGUAAACAUUGAUAGGAGUACAAGCAUUGGAGGAGUACUCAGUACUCACCAUGUUCGAGGAAGUCGUGGUGGUGGUGGUGGUGGUCGAGGAAGUCGUAGGUGACGGCGGCAUCAUCACGGAGCAUGCACCAUCUUCUCCUCGAUUUGAACUGUAGUACUCCAUGUACUCCCACUUGUAAACUUUUUGAAAUGCAGAUCCACUCCAAGAAUGUGCUCUGAAAUGGAGUACCGUGGAGUAUACUCUAAAAAUCAGUUUGGUUUGAGCCCAGUAGAUCAAUCAAAGUACUCUGGCAUGAUAAAAAGAA